CGAAUAGUUUUUUUAAAAACUACACUAAAAUAAAUUAAAAAUGCAU
rfam:Stomoxys calcitrans breed 8C7A2A5H3J4 unplaced genomic scaffold Scaffold1024, whole genome shotgun sequence.